rnacentral:rRNA from 1 species
ACGAAGGGUGCAAGCGUUACUCGGAAUUACUGGGCGUAAAGCGUGCGUAGGUGGUUCGUUAAGUCUGAUGUGAAAGCCCUGGGCUCAACCUGGGAAUGGCAUUGGAUACUGGCGACCUAGAGUGCGGUAGAGGGUGGCGGAAUUCCUGGUGGAGCGGUGAAAUGCGUAGAUAUCAGGAGGAACGCCGGCGGCGAAAGCGGCUCUCUGGCCUGUUACUGACGCUGAGGCGCGAAAGCUAGGGGAGCAAACGGGA